CUACGAGGACGACGCUGGCGGCGUGCUUAACACAUGCAAGUGGAGCGACGAACCGGGGCUUGCCCCGGGGCAGAGCCGCGAACGGGUGAGUAACACGUGGGUAACCUGCCUCAAUGAUUGGGACAACCCGGGGAAACUCGGGCUAAUACCAAAUGUGUUCACUCCUUCUAAGGGGAGUGAGGAAAGGAAGCUUCGGCCUCCGCAUUGAGAUGGGCCCGCGGCCCAUUAGCUUGUUGGUGAGGUAACGGCUCACCAAGGCUUCGAUGGGUAGCUGGUCUGAGAGGACGAUCAGCCACACUGGGACUGAGACACGGCCCAGACUCCUACGGGAGGCAGCAGUGGGGAAUCUUGCACAAUGCGCGAAAGCGUGAUGCAGCAACGCCGCGUGGGGAAGACGGCCUUCGGGUUGUAAACCCCUUUCAGUUGGGACGAAGCUUCGUCGGUGAAUAGCCGGUUGGAGUGACGGUACCUUCAGAAGAAGCCCCGGCUAACUACGUG
rnacentral:rRNA from 1 species